GUGAGGAAUAUUGGUCAAUGGGCGGGAGCCUGAACCAGCCAAGUCGCGUGAAGGAAGAAGGAUCUAUGGUUCGUAAACUUCUUUUGCAGGGGAAUAAAGUGCAGGACGUGUCCUGUUUUGUAUGUACCCUGAGAAUAAGGAUCGGCUAACUCCGUGCCAGCAGCCGCGGUAAUACGGAGGAUCCGAGCGUUAUCCGGAUUUAUUGGGUUUAACGGGUGCGUAGGUGGUUUGAUAAGUCAGCGGUGAAAGUUUGCAGCUUAACUGUAAAAAUGCCGUUGAAACUGUCGGACUUGAGUGGAGAUGAGGUAGGCGGAAUGCGUGGUGUAGCGGUGAAAUGCAUAGAUAUCACGCAGAACUCCGAUUGCGAAGGCAGCUUACUAAGCUACAACUGACACUGAAGCACGAAAGCGUGGGGAUCAAACAGGAUUAGAUACCCGGGUAGUCC
rnacentral:rRNA from 1 species